rnacentral:misc_RNA from 1 species
AACGCACAUUGCGCCCUUUGGUAUUCCGAAGGGCAUGCCUGUUCGAGCGUCAUUAUCACCCCUCAAGCUUGGGCUUGUCGUUGAACCCCCAGGUCCGUCAGACGACCGGUUCGAAAGAUAGUGACGGUUGCCUAUAUGACCCUCGGUGCAAUGAGCUCUCACCAGCACGCGCCGUCCGCGGUCUGAUAGCCCGGUCUCUCCUUUUAUUUUUUUACAAGGUUGACCUCGGAUCAGGUAGGAAUACCCGCUGAACUUAA